rnacentral:lncRNA from 1 species
UUGCUAUUAAUCAAACUUAAUUAGCACUAAUCCACAAGAAAUCAACAGAUUAGGGUUUUUAAUUUAUUAAAUUUCAUAAAUAAACCUGUUGCUCCUCAUUGUACUUUUAUCCUCCGGGGCUGCCUCUCCUUCUCAGUAGCUAAUCUGUACAUCCAAUACACCUAUCACGAUGAAAGAUCAGAUUUUAGACAGUAAUUAAAGCGAAAAAUCAAGAACAUGAAGGAAAUUAGAGAGUACCAGAGCGAGGACGUGAGCUACUAUUAGGAGAACCACCACGAACGGCACCGAUUCGAGGAACCAUGGCCGCAGAGACGCCGGCUGCGGAUUCGCCAUUCGAUGGAAACAGGGAGGUUUUAGAGAGAGAUAGAUGGGAGAAAGAGAUGGAGA